rnacentral:rRNA from 1 species
UACGUAGGGUGCGAGCGUUAGUCGGAAUUACUGGGCGUAAAGCGUGCGCAGGCGGUUUUGUAAGCCAGGUGUGAAAUCCCCGGGCUCAACCUGGGAAUGGCAUUUGGGACUGCAAGGCUGGAGUGCGGCAGAGGAGACUGGAAUUCCUGGUGUAGCAGUGAAAUGCGUAGAUAUCAGGAGGAAUACCGAUGGCGAAGGCAGGUCUCUGGGCUGACACUGACGCUCAUGCACGAAAGCGUGGGGAGCAAACAGG